rnacentral:rRNA from 1 species
AUUGAACGCUGGCGGCAGGCCUAACACAUGCAAGUCGAGCGGAUGAAGGGAGCUUGCUCCUGGAUUCAGCGGCGGACGGGUGAGUAAUGCCUAGGAAUCUGCCUGGUAGUGGGGGAUAACGUCCGGAAACGGGCGCUAAUACCGCAUACGUCCGUAGGGAGAAAGGGGGGGAUCUUCGGACCUCACGCUAUCAGAUGAGCCUAGGUCGGAUUAGCUAGUUGGUGGGGUAAAGGCCUACCAAGGCGACGAUCCGUAACUGGUCUGAGAGGAUGAUCAGUCACACUGGAACUGAGACACGGUCCAGACUCCUACGGGAGGCAGCAGUGGGGAAUAUUGGACAAUGGGCGAAAGCCUGAUCCAGCCAUGCCGCGUGUGUGAAGAAGGUCUUCGGAUUGUAAAGCACUUUAAGUUGGGAGGAAGGGCAGUAAGUUAAUACCUUGCUGUUUUGACGUUACCAACAGAAUAAGCACCGGCUAACUUCGUG